rnacentral:rRNA from 1 species
AUACGGAGGAUCCAAGCGUUAUCCGGAAUCAUUGGGUUUAAAGGGUCCGUAGGCGGGUUAAUAAGUCAGUGGUGAAAGUCUGCAGCUCAACUGUAGAAUUGCUAUUGAUACUGUUAACCUUGAGUAAUUAUGAAGUGGUUAGAAUAUGUAGUGUAGCGGUGAAAUGCAUAGAUAUUACAUAGAAUACCGAUUGCGAAGGCAGAUCACUAAUAAUUUACUGACGCUGAUGGACGAAAGCGUAGGUAGCGAACAGGAUUAGAUACCCUGGUAGUCUACGCCGUAAACGAUGGUUACUAGCUGUUUGGACCGAUUGAGGUCUGAGUGGCUAAGCGAAAGUGAUAAGUAACCCACCUGGGGAGUACGUUCGCAAGAAUGAA